GACGAACGCUGGCGGCGUGCUUAACACAUGCAAGUCGAACGGAAAGGCCCUGCGUUUGUGGGGUGCUCGAGUGGCGAACGGGUGAGUAACACGUGAGUAACCUGCCCUUGACUUUGGGAUAACUUCAGGAAACUGGGGCUAAUACCGGAUAGGAGCUCCUGCUGCAUGGUGGGGGUUGGAAAGUCUCGGCGGGUGGGGAUGGACGAGCGGCUGACCGGCUUGUUGGUGGGGUAGUGGCUGACCCAGGAUGUGGCGGGUCGCCCGCAUGAGAGGGUGACCGGCCACAUUGGGACUGAGAUACGGCGCAGUCGCCUACGGGAGGCAGCAGUGGGGAAUAUUGCACAGUGGGCGGGCGCCUGAUGCAGCAACGCCGCGUGCGGGAUGACGGCCUUCUGGUUGUAAACCGCUUUCGCCUGUGACGAAGCGUGAGUGACGGUAAUGGGUAAAGAAGCACCGGCUAACUACGUG
rnacentral:rRNA from 1 species